rnacentral:lncRNA from 1 species
UACAGCCGGUUUCCGAAACGUUAUUCAAAUCUUCGAUCAUCUAAUCGAGCUGUUAGAUUUGAUCAACUGUUAACCAGUCACCAGUUUCUCAAACGUCGAUCAUCUUAAAAUUAUAUGAUCGUAGAAAAUCGAUUAUCUGACAUACGAUUGGUAUCGAUACUGUCACAAUCGGCUGUCAUCCUUCAAAAUUUCAUUUUAUAACCAAAAAAUUUCAAUCCAUAGUAAAUAACUACAUAAUUUAUAAAAUUAAAAAAUAUAUUAAAAAUGAGCAAUACCAACGGAAAUCCUCCACGCAAAAAUUAUACUGAGAGAGAGAAACGUUUGCUGUUGGAAAUAAUUGGAAAAUUAGAUUUGUUUUCAUAUUAUAAUUGAAAACAAAUGUACCAAUGGUAUGUCCACCAACCAAAACAAUGAAACCUGGGAAAAAAUAGCGCUGAAUUUCCCAGAACUCCCAAGCAGCUGAACACUGCAUAUUUUAUAUAUUAUACUUAAAAAGGGUCACUCACCAAAAAGUAGCAGAGGAAAAUGUUAAGUGUAUAAAACUUUCGGUUGAUUUAGAGCUAUAUGGAUUAAUUACAUUGCAGAUUCAAAAAUAUAAUGAGCAGAAGGUUUUGGACCAGUUGAAGAGAGACCAAACUGUGGACAAAAAAGACAUACUUGCAACAGGUGGUGGCACAUUUAGGCCUCGUCUCACAGAUGUAGGGACACAAAUGUGGGGUUUGAUUGGCAAUCAAAUCCAACCUUUACCCAACAGAUGUGACAGUGCAUCUGGUUUCUUCACAUCUGUUGCACAAGAUAGUCAAGUGGAAGUAGAUUACCUACAAUUAGAAGACACAUAGCAGACAUCCAAUGUACCCUCUAUUUCCACUGUGCUGCUCAGUACACCGACAACAACUGCUGUCCUGCCCAAGAAGACAGCCAAGAUGUCUCAGGCUCUUUCAAAAAAUAAAAAAUUAAAAGAUGUAGGGAGCGAAACCCUUAAACAUAUCUUUUACAAAAAAAAAAUUGAAACAGCAAGACUAGAAAAAAGAAGUAAGAUAGUAUUUUUCAACAAGAAAAAAAGAAAUUUUAGAAGUAGAGCUUCAAAUAAAAAAAUUCGAACUCGAUAAAUUAUUAGGUAAUAGUGGUUAGGUAUGUACCUAAUAAAGUAAUUUUAAAUAAAAAUUGUAAUUUCUUUAA